AAGUGCGAUUAUCUUCAAAUUUUGUGUGUUUGUUGCUAACUUAGUUUUUGAAAAGUAUACAAAAAUUUAAGGAAGAAAUAUGGUUUAAAUGAUAGAUAUUGAGGUUCUAAAUUGUGCUAGGAUUAUGUUGAGUUGGUUAGGUUUUGGUUAGAAUAUGGUUUAUAAUUAGGAUUGGAUUAGGAUUUAGAAUUUAGUUAGAAUUUGGUUAUGGUUAAGGAUUGGACUAGGAUUUAGAUUUUGAGUUAGGAUUUGGUUGAGGUUUAGAAUUUAGGAUUUUUUUAGGAUUUAGGAUUAAAGAUUUAGGAUUUGCUUAGGAUUUAGGUAAGGUUUGAUUAAGAUUUAGAAUAGAUUAGGAUUUAGGAUUUGAAUUAGGAUUUUUUUACGAUUUAGGAUUUAAGAUUUACUUAGGAUUUAAAAUCUGCUUAGAAUUUGAUUAAGGUUUUAUUAAAAUUUAAGAUUAAAUUAGGAUUUAAGAUUUGAUUUAGGAUUU
rnacentral:lncRNA from 1 species